UYAGUVCGAGUGAUGACCGAUCUUAUUGGGCCUAAAGCGUCCGUAGCUGGCUGCGCAAGUCCGUCGGGAAAUCCACUCGCCCAACGAGUGGGCGUCCGACGGAAACUGCACAGCUUGGGACCGGAAGGCUCGAAGGGUACGUUCGGGGUAGGAGUGAAAUCCCAUAAUCCCGCACGGACCACCGAUGGCGAAAGCACUUCGAGAAAACGGAUCCGACAGUGAGGGACGAAAGCCAGGGUCUCCAACCGGAUUAGAUACCCGGGUAGUCCUGGCUGUAAACAAUGUUCGCUAGGUAUGACACAGACUACGUGUCUCUGUUGUGCCGUAGGGAAGCCGAG
rnacentral:rRNA from 1 species